UGCCCUGGCUCAGUUAUCACAGUGCUGAUGCUGUCAGUUCUAAAGGUACAGUACUGUGAUAACUGAAGGAUGGCA
rnacentral:pre_miRNA from 1 species